rnacentral:lncRNA from 1 species
CCCGUAGCGGCAGAGAGGACUUGGUCUUCUUGUGCUUACAGAGUAGUGGGGGGUGGGGGGUUAGAGCAUCGCGCCAGAGCAAAGCGAUCCGAGGAUAAUAAAAGCCAUAGCUUCUUUAGCAAGGAAUAUGUAUUUAUACGGAACUGAUUUCCACCUGUCGCACCCGCCCUCUUACCACCAUCCCAGUGGCUCAGUGGUUUAGCAUAGGUGCCUUUUGGACUGUGAGUUUAGCUUUCCUGUGAGUUAAAACCAUUUACACAUUUGACGAGCAGCCAUUCGGUCAUGGACCAGGCGAAGUCCUUGUGAUUGACAACAUGCAAGCUACCUGACUUCUCCCCUUCCCUGCCUCACCCCCCUCCUCCCUGCGGUGCCCUCGCACUCAUCCUGGAGUCCAGCAUCACAAAGAGAGGCCAUGGUUAACACGUGAGUAACUGGCAGCAGUCUCAUCCUGCUCAUACAAACUCUUGUAGAAAAGCCAUCACAUUACACCAAAUGUCACUCUCUGUUUAUGUCAUGUGACUGGACCAGCUCCUGUCUGGCUGAUAGACAUUUAAGCCUUAAUAAAAUUAUGUUUAAAGUCAUGUUCUCUCUCUGACUUGUAAUUGCUCGCAUUGUGCAUCUUAGUGAUUUUGUGGAGUGAAUCUCUUUGCAGAGUACUGAAUAAAUGGGCUGAAAAAGCGAAGCUGGCACAAAGGAUGUGCAGCCCGAUGAGUUUUAGAGGGGUUAUUGCAGCAGCCGCAUGGACCGUCACAGGACUGAGGCUCAGAUACCUAAACCUGAGGAGGUCUGGUCUUCAAACAGCUGUUCAGAAAAAAGGAGGAAAAUCACUCAGAUACAUUCUGUCUCCAGCGUGUCCUCGAUGUGCAGAGGGAGGCCAAAUCCAUCCCUCGCUGGCCAGUGACCUCCUGAUGUGACGUCUGCAUCCCAGCAGGCUGGAUUUGGACGGACAAGAGACAAAGGCAGCACCCCAGCAAAUCUUGACAUUGGCUGCACUUCCUUUUCUAAACGAGC